rnacentral:sRNA from 1 species
UGAAUGCGUGUGUGUGCGUGUGUGAAAGUCUGCAAAAGGCUAUCUCAAACCUGACUUGGGAUUGGUUGAUUCAGUUAUUCUUUGCUCCUCAAUUUACACAGGAUUGGGUUCAGGGGGGUUUGCUUCGAAGAUAUUCCUACUCUUCAGCCGUUUGAUUUUGUUUUUCUCUCUUUUCAUCGUUUUAUAUUAAUAUGGUCUAUCAGCCUACAUUGACAAUUUUAAUUCAACGGAUUCGCGAGUUAGGUCUUUCUUUGACAAUAUCGGUUCAAGGUAUUGAAGCUCUACUUGCCGCGAACACUUUUGAAGCGAACCACCCUUUGGCCAGUGCCUCCCGAAAAUACCAAUUCCUCCCUUAGGCUCAGUACUGAUAAACUUCGACUUUAAACGGGGGC